GUGAAUCAUCAAAUUUUUGAACGCAAAUUGCACUCUCCUCUAAGAGUAUGCCUGUUUGAGGGUCAGCCUAUAAAAAAACAACAUCGGGGCUGUUUCGCGCUUUCGGUCGUCAGGAAUUGGGUCAGCUUCGAUCCUUUUUGUGUUUAAGCGACUUAAAAUUUUCUUUUUGUUUCCAUGAACUUUUCUAAUAUUUAUUUCUUUACACGUGUAAGGUAUCGAUUUGUAUUAGACGUGACAUGCAU
rnacentral:misc_RNA from 1 species